GACGAACGCUGGCGGCGUGCUUAACACAUGCAAGUCGAGCGGUAAGGCCCCUUCGGGGGUACACGAGCGGCGAACGGGUGAGUAACACGUGGGUGACCUGCCCUCAGCUCUGGGAUAAGCCUGGGAAACUGGGUCUAAUACCGGAUAUGACUCCAUGACGCAUGUCGUGGGGUGGAAAGCCUUGUGCGGCUGGGGAUGGGCCCGCGGCCUAUCAGCUUGUUGGUGGGGUGAUGGCCUACCAAGGCGACGACGGGUAGCCGGCCUGAGAGGGCGACCGGCCACGCUGGGACUGAGACACGGCCCAGACUCCUACGGGAGGCAGCAGUGGGGAAUCUUGCGCAAUGGGCGAAAGCCUGACGCAGCGACGCCGCGUGAGGGAUGACGGCCU
rnacentral:rRNA from 1 species